GGUCCCUUUCGUUGUCCUGGGGUAAUUGAGCUGUUCUGCCUGAUCUCAUCACUGGGCUUUUUUUCCCCAUUAGGGCUACUUCAGUCCCUUGUUAUAAACAUGCUUAUCAGCCAAACUUACCACUCCUAGUGUACUAACCUGAGGACACGACCAAGGGAGCACAGCUGAAGCACCGGAUAGCAACUCUAAGCAGACAGGAGUCUAGCAUGGCUGUCUUCUCAGAGGCUAACUCACACAGCAGCUAGCUCUCACAGAUGGAGACACAUCCAAACAGUGGAUGGAGCUUGGGGACGCUCAUGGAAGAAUAAAAGGAAGGAUUGUCAACUCCACAGGAAGGCCAACAGUCAACUAACUCAGACCCUUGGGGCUCUCAGAGACUGAACCACCAACUAAAGAACAAAC